rnacentral:rRNA from 1 species
GUAGGUGGCAAGCGUUGUCCGGAAUUAUUGGGCGUAAAGCGCGCGCAGGCGGUUCUUUAAGUCUGAUGUGAAAGCCCACGGCUCAACCGUGGAGGGUCAUUGGAAACUGGAGAACUUGAGUACAGAAGGGGAAAGCGGAAUUCCACGUGUAGCGGUGAAAUGCGUAGAGAUGUGGAGGAACACCAGUGGCGAAGGCGGCUUUCUGGUCUGUAACUGACGCUGAGGCGCGAAAGCGUGGGGAGCAAACAGGAUUAGAUACCCUGGUAGUCCACGCCGUAAACGAUGAGUGCUAAGUGUUAGGGGGGUUUUCCGCCCCCCUUAGUGCUGCAGCUAACGCAUUAAGCACUCCGCCUGGGAGUACCGGCCGCAAGGCUG